GAUGAUUACAUAUACGGAUACUAUCAGCCAGACAUUUUCAGGUUACGGACGUGGGACAACAACCAUACACUUCGGUACCUCUGUCAACGAUAUGUGCCUAAAGAUAACUGGUAUGGGUGCUCUGCGAGCAAAUCUCUUGGACGCAUGGAGAUACUUUACAAUCCAACGCCUAAGACAUAUGAUGAGGCCACCACCGAUUGCGCAGGGAGAUUCAGCAUUCUGGCCAAUAUCCAAAGCUUAAACCAUGCAGAGUGCGCAAGGUCAGUGCUUGGGCCACGAAAUGGUCAAUGCAGCAGUUCCUCAAGCGAUAAUUGCAAGAUUGCCUCGUCUGGCUGCAAAGCCAAUACAUGCAAUGUGUGGGUUGCUCUACAACGAACAUCUAAAAAUUGGACAUGGGUGUUACCAGUUCCAUCCAUACCGAGCACAGUUCCCUGGAUAAAUUCAACAACAGGAGGUAGUGGAGAAAGAAAAUGUGGUUACUAUUUACCUGAAAAAGAGGGUUUCGGAGUCGAAUCUUGCACAAUGAAGCUAAGUUUCUACUGUCAAAGAUAUACACCAAAUGAACCCUCCAACGUAGCUGUCGACUCCACCGAAACUGAGAUCUUCGCACGUUUAGUGCAGCCACAGGUACUUCGGGAAUGGAUAUCUCGAUUCUGCUUUGUGUACACGGACAACAGGACAGCGGCUGUCACAACUUCGGUUUGUGGCACAAGUGAGUCUACCGUUUUGGCAAACCUGAGUACCAACACGACGUACCGAGUCCGAGCAUUCUACACCACUACGACUGGAAUAAACAGCAGCAUCUCCCAAGAUUUCUACAUUACAACAUUGCCUAAAGUUAGAUGGGACGCGUGUGCUCAAACGAACACCAGCACUUGGCAAGUCGAUUGGACUUUUCGAUUUGACCACAAAACCUGGAAAGACGCCAACAUAUCCUGUCGGUCACUUGGCGGAUCACUGUCUACUGUUCAGACGAUGGCUCAGCUCCAGUGUGCCAACUCUACAGCGAAGGGAACGUCCGCUACGUGGGUAGGCCUGACUGGUACAUGGAGUGCCGGAAAUUGGAUUGCUUGGAAAUGGGAAGCUGCAUUGUGGUCCGUUACGGCACAGCUUCCAUGGGAUUCAAAAUUUCCAGCGAUUCGGGAUGAUUACAUAUACGGAUACUAUCAGCCAGACAUUUUCAGGUUACGGACGUGGGACAACAACCAUACACUUGGGUACCUCUGUCAACGAUAUGUG